AAAUAACUUAGCCAUAGGCAAGGCAGGAACGCGGGGCAGCAUGCUCAGGACCUAAGCAGACAGGAGGAGCCUGCAGGAAGCCUCUGGACCACUUCUGUGGAAGUCUCCCUACAGUCAAGAAACUGCUGCAUUUUCUGGCUUUGUUCCCAGACCACACACUCCGCAAACUGAGCUGCAGUUCAGAUGGUGCCUUCUCCAGAACGACCCUCAGUUCUCCUCCUUUCAGACUGAAGUCAGUGCAACAGCAGCAGGAAGAGCAAACUAAGAAAACGCUUAACUGCACUGCAAAGAGCUGCUGGGCUGGAGACUGCUCUAUAAAGCAGAAACCACCUGUGCCAAAGCGCAGGCAGCUCCAAACCUAUGUAUGUGCCUGUAGCACUCAUUCACACACACACACACACACACACACACACACACACACACACACACACACACGCACAGAGAGAGACUCAAUUUGGCAGCCUCUCCUUAAGGAAAUGCCAUCUACUAAAUUAUUU
rnacentral:lncRNA from 1 species